GAAGGUGUAGCUCCAUGGUAGAGUGAAUGCCUAGCAUACCUGAGGUCCUGGGUUCAAUCCCCAGUACCUCCA
rnacentral:tRNA from 1 species